GACGAACGCUGGCGGCGCGCCUAACACAUGCAAGUCGAACGAGCGAGCGAGAGCUUGCUUUCUUGAGCGAGUGGCGAACGGGUGAGUAACGCGUGAGGAACCUGCCUCAAAGAGGGGGACAAUAGUUGGAAACGACUGCUAAUACCGCAUAAGCCCACGGUGCCGCAUGGCACAGAGGGAAAAGGAGCAAUCCGCUUUGAGAUGGCCUCGCGUCCGAUUAGCUAGUUGGUGAGGUAACGGCCCACCAAGGCGACGAUCGGUAGCCGGACUGAGAGGUUGAACCGCCACAUUGGGACUGAGACACGGCCCAGACUCCUACGGGAGGCAGCAGUGGGGAAUAUUGCAAAAUGGGGGAAAUCAUGAUGCAGCUACGCCGCGUGGAGGAAGAAGGUCUUCGGAUUGUAAACUCCGGUUGUGGGGGAAGAUAAUGACGGUACCCAACAAGGAAGUGACGGCUAACUACGUG
rnacentral:rRNA from 1 species